UACAGAGGUCCCAAGCGUUGUUCGGAUUCAUUGGGCGUAAAGGGUGCGUAGGUGGCGCUGUAAGUCGGGUGUGAAAUUUCGGAGCUUAACUCCGAAACUGCAUUCGAUACUGCGGUGCUUGAGGACUGGAGAGGAGACUGGAAUUCAUGGUGUAGCAGUGAAAUGCGUAGAGAUCAUGAGGAAGACCAGUGGCGAAGGCGAAUCCCUGGAAAAUACCUGACACUGAGGCACGAAAGCUAGGGGAGCAAACAGG
rnacentral:rRNA from 1 species